AUGCUUGUUUGAGUAUCAGUAAACACCUCAAACCUCACCGUUUGAUGUUGGGCAGUGCCUGUAGGCAUGCCUAAAAAUCAGCGACGGUUUCAACCAACCUCAGACGUACAAUAUCGUUAUAGUGGGCGGUUGGGGCCUGUCCCCCAAUUAUAUAUCUAAAUGUUGACCUCGGAUCAGCUAGGAAUACCCGCUGAACUUAA
rnacentral:misc_RNA from 1 species